rnacentral:antisense_RNA from 1 species
AGUAGGAGCUGCCGAAGGCUGCGAUCUUUUGAUCUUGAUUUUAAAAAGCAGAAUCAAAAGAUCGCAGCCUUCGGCAGCUCCUACA